GGAUCGAAUUAGUUGGGUCGUGCGUUCGGUACGUACUGGCAUUAUUGGUUCCUACCUCCGUGAAGAACCGCGAUGUCAUUAAUUUGGUGUCGUGGGGAAUCAGGACUGUUACUUUGAAAAAUUAGAGUGUUUAAAGCAGGCGCACGCUUGAAUACAUUAGCAUGGAAUAAUGAAAUAGGACGUUUGAUUCUAUUUUGUUGGUUUCUAGGAUCGACGUAAUGAUUAAUAGGGAUAGUUGGG
rnacentral:rRNA from 1 species